UCUGGUUGAUUCUGCCAGUAGUCAUACGCUUGUUUUAAAGAUUAAGCCAUGCAUGUCUAAGUAUAAAACUUUUAUUUUGAAACUGCGAACGGCUCAUUAUAUCAGUUAUAGUUUAUUUGAUAGUCCCUUACUACUUGGAUUUAACCGUAGUAAUUCUAGAGCUAAUACGUGCGUCAAUACUCUUCGGAGUAGUAUUUAUUAGAUUGAAACCAACUGCUUCGGCAUGAUGUGGUGAUUCAUAAUAAGCUUGCGGAUCGCAUGGCUUUGCCGGCGAUGGAUCAUUCAAGUUUCUGCCCUAUUAGUUUUGAUGGUACUGUAUUGGAGUACCGUGGCGGUAAUGGGUAAUGGAAAAUUAGGGUUUGACACCGGAGAGGGAGCCUGAGAGAUGGCUACCAUAUCCAAGGAAGGCAGCAGGCGUGUAAAUUACCCAAUCUUGACACAAGGAGGUAGUGACAAUAAAUAACAAUGCCGGGCCUUUAUAGGUCUGGCAAUUGGAAUGAGAACAAUUUAAACCCCUUAUCGAGGAUCAAUUGGAGGGCAAGUCUGGUGCCAGCAGCCGCGGUAAUUCCAGCUCCAAUAGCGUAUAUUAAAGUUGUUGCAGUUUAAAAGCUCGUAGUUGGAUUUGUGGCUUUCGCCGUGGCGUCCAUUAAUUUGGUUCUGCCUUGGCGUUGCCAUCCUUGGGUGGAUCCUGUGUGGCAUUAGGUUGUCGUGCAGGGGAUGCCCAUCGUUUACUGUGAAAAAAUUAGAGUGUUCAAAGCAGGCUUAUGCCGUUGAAUAUAUUAGCAUGGAAUAAUAAGAUAGGUCUUUGGUCCUAUUUUGUUGGUUUGCGGGCCGGAGAAAUGAUUAACAGGGACAGUUGGGGGUAUUCGUAUUCCAUUGUCAGAGGUGAAAUUCUUGGAUUUCUGGAAGACGAACUACUGCGAAAGCAUUUAUCAAGGAUGUUUUCAUUAAUCAAGAACGAAAGUUAGGGGAUCGAAGAUGAUUAGAUAUCAUCGUAGUCUUAACCAUAAACUAUGCCGACAAGGGAUUGGCGGGGUUUUGUUAUGUUUCCGUCAGCACCUUAUGAGAAAUUACAAGUUUUUGGGUUCCGGGGGGAGUAUGGUCGCAAGGCUGAAACUUAAGGAAAUUGACGGAAGGGCACCACCAGGAGUGGAGCCUGCGGCUUAAUUUGACCCAACACGGGAAAACUUACCAGGUCCAGACAUAGUGAGGAUUGACAGAUUGAGAGCUCUUUCUUGAUUCUAUGGGUGGUGGUGCAUGGCCGUUCUUAGUUGGUGGAGUGAUUUGUUUGGUUAAUUCCGUCAACGAACGAGACCCCUGCCUGCUAAAUAGUCCCGUGAGUGAAUUUCACUGACGAGGACUUCUUAGAGGGACGUGCAUUCUAUU
rnacentral:rRNA from 1 species